GAUCCCCAUAGCCUUGCUAGAAAUCCCAAUAUCAGGAUGCACCUGUUUUAGCACCUUAAAGAUGUAGAUCUUGUAGGUCUCAACACUCUUCUUGGCCUUCUUCUUCUUCUUCUCGCUGGAAGCGGCAUCCUUUGGUAGCUUCUUCCCGGCCUUUGGCUUCUUCUCCGCCGGAGCCUUCUCGGCGACGGUGGACUUCUUCUCCUCCGCCGGCUUCUUUUCAGCUGGCUUCUUCUCUGCCUUUGGUGCCAUUGGAAUUGAAAGAGAAAAUAUAAAAGGAGAAACUAAAAGCGGCUGUUCAAG
rnacentral:misc_RNA from 1 species